rnacentral:rRNA from 1 species
CCUACGGGAGGCAGCAGUGAGGAAUAUUGGUCAAUGGGCGCGAGCCUGAACCAGCCAAGUCGCGUGAGGGAAGACGGUCCUAUGGAUUGUAAACCUCUUUUGUCGGGGAGCAAAAGACGCCACGUGUGGCGUUCCGAGAGUACCCGAAGAAAAAGCAUCGGCUAACUCCGUGCCAGCAGCCGCGGUAAUACGGAGGAUGCGAGCGUUAUCCGGAUUUAUUGGGUUUAAAGGGUGCGCAGGCGGAAGAUCAAGUCAGCGGUAAAAUUGAGAGGCUCAACCUCUUCGAGCCGUUGAAACUGGUUGUCUUGAGUGAGCGAGAGGUAUGCGGAAUGCGUGGUGUAGCGGUGAAAUGCAUAGAUAUCACGCAGAACUCCGAUUGCGAAGGCAGCAUACCGGCGCUCAACUGACGCUCAUGCACGAAAGUGUGGGUAUCGAACAGGAUUAGAUACCCCAGUAGUC